CCACUACUCCAUCUUCAAGACAAGUUCUGCACCUCCUGGUGGCUGGAGGAGAUCCCUACACUGACUCACCUGUUCCUGCUUAUCCUCCUGCAGCCUUCAAUAAAUCUUUGUCAUCUGCUCCUGGGUCUGCUCUCUUUUGGCUUGUCCUCAGAACCACCAAAGCUGACAGAACGUUCUGGCCAUGACGGACCCAAAAGCUGCCCAGGAGUGGAAGGUUCGAGUUGAGACUGCCCUUAGCAGCUACGAGUCCCGGCUUGGUGAACUAACUACCGGCGUCAAAGAAAUCGCUGAAAGACUUGAAAGGGUUGAUCUUUCCCCGAGAGCACCUCCUGUUGACCCUUUGCCUCACCCUGUACAUGAACCACACAUUCCACCAGCAGAGAGGUAUGGUGAAGAUCCCUCACAAUGUCGCACCUUUCUUACACAAUGUGAAAUUCGGUUUGCACAACAACCUUCAUCAUUCCCCUCCGAAAGAGCUAAAGUGGCGUACGGGUCGUGCUGCAUAGUGGGCCACCGCAGAAUGGUCAAGAGACUCCGACUCCUGCUCCUCCUAUCGUCAGUUUGCAAGAGGACUUCGGAGAGUGUUUGAUCCAGUGGCUCCUCACCAGGAGGCAUCCCAUCAGCUUACUCGCAUACGCCAGGGAGGAGACUCUGUGGACGACUAUGCUAUAAGGUUUCAGACCUUGGCAGCUGAUAGUCGAUGGAACGACUAUGCUUUGUUUGACAUGUUCUACCGAGGACUUUCUAAAAGAGUGAAGGAUGAACUGGUGGCUCGUGAACUCCCUCACAGUAUUGAAGACCUGAUCUCUCUUGCUUCACGCAUUGAUCAUCAGAUGCGAGAGAGGGCGCGGGAGAGAACACUGAGACCAGGGAGGCACAACAGUUUUCCCCACUCGCAUUUGCCUUCCUUCUCCAGGUCAUUGCCACCAUUCCAUUUGGGUGCAGAGGAGGAGCCCAUGCAACUAGGCCGCACUUCCCUAUCUAAGGAGAAGAAAGUAAGGCGCUUUAACGAAAAUCUUUGUUUCUAUUGUGCUUCUCCAGGCCAUCGCAUUGACUCAUGCCCAGUAAAAGACAGGGCUCAGCACGCAAAGGGGAGGCGUGUGUGAGCCGAUCUUUAUCUUGCUCCCCUAAGGACAACCAACUGACCAAAGUUGCUUUUCAUGUCAAGGGACAGGAGAUGGGGGAUCAGGAGUCUUCAGUUACCACAGGAUCUUCAGGUUCGGGCUAUUGAUGGCCAUCUGAUCACCGUCAGCCAAGCUGUAACAGAACCUGUUAAGAUGCAAAUAGAGAAUCAUUUUGAGUUAAUAAAGUUUCCUGUGAUCAAAGAGACUGACUCACCCAUCAUUGUAGGCCUGUCAUAGUUAAGGAGACACAAUCCACAGAUUGACUGGUGUUUUGGAAGGAUUUUGAGUUGGGGAGCAGGUUGUCCAAAACACUGCCUUCGUGCCAUAAAGGGCUCGUCACCAGAUCAGACUUCUGUGACUGUGGAGCGAUAUCCUGAUCUGUCUAAAGUGCCAACUGUCUACCAUGACCUCAAGGAGGUGUUUAGUAAGGUCAAGGAAUCGCUCUACCACCUCAUCGUCCUUAUGACUGCCCCAUUGAACUGCUACCUGGUACAACACCACCUA